rnacentral:rRNA from 1 species
CAUAUUAAUCAGCGGAGGAAAAGAAACUAACAAGGAUUCCCCCUAGUAAAC